CUAUCGCUCUUCUUCCUAUUUUCUAACCUAACUGCGCAUCUCUCUUUUCUUCCUCCUUUUCUCUUCUCUUCGAUUAUGGGCAAAGCUUUGGCAGAUUUCCCCCAAAAUUAGUUUCUUUAUUUCAUUGAUUUGCUUUCCAAUCGUAUCAUUCAGUCAUACAAAGAGAGAAUUGUUGAGUUUUCUUCCUCUUCAGAGUUUAUAUGAUUGAAUUCUACCGAACCCUAACCCCGAAUUACUCGAAUCACACACACAAUUGUACCUAUUUCAUUAUCUUCUCAACCCAUAGUUGUUCAGAUUUAGCCGUAUAACGAACCCAAUUUUCGUUUUACCUUCUGAAACCUUACUUUAAUUUUGUUUUUUCCCUGUAAAAGUAGAAGGUGUUUAUUGGUAAUUGAUGGUGUCAUGACUCUUACAAGGUUUCAUCUGGUAUUAACAUUUAUUGAUAGCUUGAUUUAGCUAUAAUGGCUGUUUAUGGAAGUGGAUGGUCUAGUGCUCACGCAACUUUCUACUGUGGUGUGGUGAUGUUAGUGGUACUACGGCCUGAAAAUCAAAUGGAGCUUGGUGGAAAAACAUGGCUAUGGCUCUCUCAGGAAAAUGGUCCCUGAUGGAGUCAAUAGAGUGACAUGAUCGAUGGUCCAGAGGCUGCUACGUAAUCAAAUCGGUUGAAGCUGGCUCCGUUCAGAAUGAUGCGACUGGAAUCACUUCCUGGAGGACUAUCGGUGCAGAUGUUUUGGGAUUAUUUUCUUGAGGUGCUGGCUUCCUUGUUGGCUUCUUAAUGCUCCAUUUAUGCGGCUAUGCAAUCUACAGGUAACUGAGUUUACAAAAAGUUUCAUGAAGCUGAUGCCAUUACUUGGUCUUUAUUUUAAUUAUGGUUGAAAAAGUAAUGCCACAUUGUUUAUGUUAUCUGUGAAGAGUAUGAGAAUACUUGUAUGCAGGUGUCAAUGGAUCAAAUAAUGGGAGCUAGUGCCUUUAAGUCUUUUGGAAUGUUAUGAAACUUCGAACCUAGUGCGCAACGUGAUAGUUUUAUUGAGCAGCAACAUGAAAUGAGAAGUUAAACAAUUGUUGGGAAGCAGAACUAUCCCAAGCAAAUGUUCAGGAAUCUGCACCAUGGACAAGGAUACUGGGAUCCAGGAGCACCUUCUUCAGUCAAAAUAAUGAAGAUUAUGAUUGCUUUGUAAGUGUGAUGUUAUGCAAGAGAGAUGGAGUACUUCGAGAUGUGUCGAGCGUUAAGAUGAUUAAGUGGUCAAAGGCUCGAAGAGCGACCAAAUUAGAGUGGCAGGGUGACAGUAGACUGAAUUCAGUUUUAAUGUUUGAUAUCUAAGGUAUUAGAGUGGCAGGGUAAUAGUAGACCGAACUCAGUUUUAAUGUUCGAUAUGUAAGGUUGCUAGUAUUUAUCUUUCCGUUCGUAUCCAGAGACUCAAAAUCUGAAUAAUUAAUGAAGUUGAUUUUAGAUUAAUAAAGUUGAUUUUAAAUUCAGUUUGAAA